GGACGUAGGGCGCGAGCGUUGUCCGGAUUUAUUGGGCGUAAAGAGCUCGUAGGCGGCUUGUCGCGUCGACUGUGAAAACCCGCGGCUCAACUGUGGGCGUGCGGGCGAUACGGGCAGACUAGAGUACUGCAGGGGAGACUGGAAUUCCUGGUGUAGCGGUGAAAUGCGCAGAUAUCAGGAGGAACACCGGUGGCGAAGGCGGUUCUCUGGGCAUUACCUGACGUGAGGAGCGAAAGUGUGGGGAGCGAACAGG
rnacentral:rRNA from 1 species